AUGAUCAGGGCAACGCACACCAGCGAGAGAGAGGACAAGAACGUCAUUUCAACACAGGAGCAUUGCAUCGCACUCAAGUGCCAGAGUUUGGAGCAUUACAUCUCAAAUGAGAACUCUGAUAAAGGGACCUCAGCCGUUUUCACCACUGACUAUGAGUUGGGUCUGUAUUUCUCCCGUCUACUCCAACUGGAUGACAAUACGAUGCCACUCUGCGACUGGCCUCUCUGGACCAUGUUGAAGACAGAAUCCUCAGAGAUUCCAAACACAGAACUCAGUGGUGCCGAGUGGGGUCUGUGUCUCAUCUCUCUAUCACCACCCUCAGUUGAGGAGACAUAUCGCUCUUCGUCAUCACUCAGCAAAGAGGUCAUGGACCUGCAGAAUGCACAACAGAAAUGA
rnacentral:lncRNA from 13 species